rnacentral:tRNA from 1 species
UAAGGAUUUAAGUUAAACUAAACUCUUAGCCUUCAAAGCUGAAAAUAGGGAAAGAUGCCUAAGCCUU